GAGACUUAGGUAAGAAAGGAGCUGCUAACUCUUUUUCUGAGCGGUUUAACUCCGUUCAUGUCUUU
rnacentral:tRNA from 1 species